rnacentral:lncRNA from 1 species
AUACAGUGAUGGCCCCCACACCUGGAAGGACUCAAGCUCUGAAUCCAGCACCUUUAGGAAGCAAGUGAUGGCAUCCCAGAGGCCCUAUGCUUGAGACAGACUGACGAAAACAGGUGGAUCUAGGUAAAAUCAGUCUCUGCUACCCUCCUCAUCUAAACCCUCAGUGCAGGGCCACCAUGGAAGCCAUGUGUUAACACUGAGUGAUCCUCAUCAGCCAAGUCCCUAAUGCAUGGAAAAGAACCUCCUGACCCCAGUCCCCAAAGACUGGACUUUUCCUUUGCAAGAAAUAAGGAUGGUAAAGUUCACCAUAAAUAACAAAGUCAUGGAGUCAAGCUGUCACAAUUGGCCACCGUUCCUAAGGCAGUUGAAUUGUAUGCAUUGACAGGAAAAAGCAGGAAGGAGUGAAGACAGAACAAGGGGAGAAUGUAACCUGAGUUGGAAGGUGUAAUAUUUAAAUGUAUUUGCAAACCUGUUUUGGGCCAAAAGGGGUAGGAGGAAGAGAAGACGCAUUUGCUGAGAUCUAUUAUAUGCCAACUGGAGGACUACAAAAUUCACAAUUCACAUCUGUUGUCUUAUUUCUUUCUCAUAAUCCCAAAGAUAAUUCUAAAGUUACACAUUAUCAUCUCCAUUUACAAUUAAGAAUUGAUUCUCCAAGAAGAAAGAUCUCACAGUGUGUAGGCAACAGACCUGGGAUUCAAACCUAUAUUGGUGGGUGUUAAUGUCCUUGUUCUUUCUGAUGUAAGCAUGUAACCUUUCCACAUCUCUGAUUCCAUGCUCAAGGUGGGCCAAGCCAUGCUGCUUGUAAGACAGGGUGCCUGUGAUGACACGAGUCAUUAAUGCAAGUGUUAAGUGCCAUGCAAGCACAGAAGCCACUUAAAAUGGGUUUUCGGAAAUGAAAGCUGGGCUCAAACAGAGCCCACUUUCAAGGGGGCCUGGUUUAAGUGGCCAAACUCUCAAGAAGAAAGGCAUGAAAGGAAGAGCCUUUCUGCUGGGCUGGCAAAACUUUAGGUUCAUGAAUUCAGGAGGAGACUGAGGAGGAGAAAACAGGGUUUUAGAAUGCAGCCUCAGGAGCUGCCUGCACCUCUCAGGCCAGGAGGUUGGCUUUUCCAAUUGUGCAAUUAAGCUAUUCUACCCAGCCCCACCUCUCAUUUUCAAUUAAUCUGCGCUAAUGAAUUCAACAACCAAAAUGCAUUUGCUAAUUGAGGUGCUUGCUGGCCAGGUCAUCCCCGCUCCCUUGUCUAACAGCUGGUACUCCCCACUGUGCCACGGUAAAGUAGGGUAGUAGAGGCCUCUGCUCCCCUCAUCCCCUGCUGCCCCUGAGGGGAAUACCCAGUGGGCAAGAAAAGGCCCAGCCUGGGAGAGAAUGUUCAUAAUAUAUUACUAAGUCACAGACAGAAAUUGCUCUUCCGGGCAGUCUUUCACUUUUUGUUUCUAAGUGAAAGCUCAUGACCAUCCCAGCCAUAUUAUCUCCCUGGCCCUUGGAAGCUGUUAUGUAAUGGAAAGGGCAUUAAACUCAGGCCAGGAAAUUCUUGAUACAGAACCCAGAUUGUUGUUUAUAACUGGGUUGACUUUGGAAAGUGACUGCCUCCCUCUCGGUUUGCUCGUCUGGAAAAUGAAACUAAUGGAACUG